rnacentral:lncRNA from 1 species
GUACCACGUGGGCCAGGCGCCCCGCAGCCUGAUCCCUCGGCUGAGGCGGGGUCAGAGGGCUAAGGGUGACUGACUGCCCAGUGCAUGGAUCUCAGCAGCACGGCUUGACUUUCGGGCGGCAGGCAAGGAUGCUAAUCCACAAGGUUCCUGAGUCCAACAUCCCUCCCUCCAAUGUGGGGCUCGAAUCCGCUAUUGCAACCAAACCCGGGUUCUGCCCGCAGGGUGGCGCAAUGACAAGAGCCACCAGGUGACCCUGGUAACUCCCGCACCUAGACCUGGAAAAGGCCAGUCCUGUGCAGUGUGGCCUUAGGGCAUCUACAGCUCUGGACAGAGGGAGAAGGUCCAAGUCCCUGCUUCCUGCUGAGGGGACGGCUAAGGAAGAGAAACUACCUUAAUGACCUACAGGAGCAGUUUUUCUGCAGCACCACAUCUGUAGCCCUGCAUGCCGCUGGCUCCAGUGUUGUGUGUGUGGUCAUGCUCCAUCCAGCCCAGCAGCAACUUUGGUGUUUGACACCCCUCGGGAGGCACCGCUUUGGAAGAGACUGGUAACAGCAGGGUGUGUGCGGAGCCCAAGAUGUGUUGGGAACAGCUAUCGUUUCUACUGCUUUGUCCCAUGCCUCUGGAGCUCCUGGGUUCCUGAACUUCAAGCUGGGCCCCAUCCUUCACCCUAUCAGGGCCCUGGGUGGAGCUGACUUCCAACAGUAUACAGUGGGUCUUGGUACUUCCUCCUUGGCAUUCGACAGUUGGUGUUUUUGAAGUCAGAGCCAUCCUCAGUAGGCUCCUAGGGGAUCGUAAGCGGCUUUCUCUGGGUGGAAACCUACUCCAUGCAGCCUUCAGCAAAGGAUCCUACGGCUGUUGAUCCCCUCGGAAGUGAGACAUAAUGUCCCGGAGCAGAUGCUGAUGGGGACUCACUGUUGGGCCACCUGAUUUCUGUGUUCAUCUUCCCAGGCUCCACCUUUCAGAUCCCAUCCCUGGUGUCUGCAGUUACAACUUUACUAACCAGAACUUUGUUUCCAGCUUACGCUGAAAAGCAAAGGGUGACUUAGAAUAAAAAUGUAACAAAUAGCCCCAUAGCCCAAACCUUUUCUGCCAUGAUUUACUGUACCAGAUACCUAUAAGUGUCCAGGGCAAAUUAAACACAUCAAUAAAUGGC